rnacentral:snRNA from 1 species
GUGCUAGCUUUGGCAGCACAUAUACUAAAAUUGGAACAAUACAGAGAAGAUUGGCAUGUCCCUUGUGCAAGGAUGACAUGCAAAUUCAUGAAGCAUUCCAUAUAAUA